rnacentral:rRNA from 1 species
AUCCUGGCUCAGGAUGAACGCUGGCGGCGUGCUUAACACAUGCAAGUCGAGCGAAGCGAUAAGGUGAAAUUUUUCGGAAUGAAGCCAUAUUGACUUAGCGGCGGACGGGUGAGUAACGCGUGGGUAACCUGCCUCAUACAGGGGGAUAACAGUUAGAAAUGACUGCUAAUACCGCAUAAGCGCACGGGACUGCAUGGUCCAGUGUGAAAAACCGAGGUGGUAUGAGAUGGACCCGCGUCUGAUUAGCUGGUUGGCGGGGUAACGGCCCACCAAGGCGACGAUCAGUAGCCGACCUGAGAGGGUGGCCGGCCACAUUGGGACUGAGACACGGCCCAAACUCCUACGGGAGGCAGCAGUGGGGAAUAUUGCACAAUGGGGGAAACCCUGAUGCAGCAACGCCGCGUGAGUGAAGAAGUAUUUCGGUAUGUAAAGCUCUAUCAGCAGGGAAGAGAAUGACGGUACCUGACUAAGAAGCCCCGGCUAACUACAUGCCAGCAGCCGCGGUAAUACG